AUACGUAGGGUGCGAGCGUUAAUCGGAAUUACUGGGCGUAAAGCGUGCGCAGGCGGUUUGUUAAGAUAGGCGUGAAAUCCCCGGGCUCAACCUGGGAACUGCGUUUAUGACUGGCAGGCUAGAGUAUGGCAGAGGGGGGUGGAAUUCCACGUGUAGCAGUGAAAUGCGUAGAGAUGUGGAGGAACACCGAUGGCGAAGGCAGCCCCCUGGGCCAAUACUGACGCUCAUGCACGAAAGCGUGGGUAGC
rnacentral:rRNA from 1 species